rnacentral:rRNA from 1 species
CGAAUAUAUCGUAUGAAAUUCUAGAUAAAUUAUUGAUAAUGACAAUUAUUUAUUUAUAAGUCUUGACCAAAUUACGUGCCAGCAGUCGCGGUAAUACGUAGAAGACUAGUGUUAAUCAUCUUUAUUAGGUUUAAAGGGUACCUAGACGGUAAAUUAAACCGAGAGGGUACUUUUUUACUAGAGUUUUAUAAGAGAAGGGGAGAAUUUUUGGAGUAAAGAUAAAAUUUAAUUAUACCAAAAGGACUGAUAACGGCGUAGGCGGCCUUUUAUGUAAAAACUGACGUUGAGGGACGAAGGCUUGGGUAGCAAUAAGGAUUAGAUACCCUAGUAGUCCAAGCAGAAAAUUAUGAAUGUCAUAAGUUAGAUAUAAUUUAACUUAUAAAUGAAAGUGUAAGCAUUCCACCUCAAGAGUAAGAUGGCAACAUUGAAACUGAA